rnacentral:rRNA from 1 species
ACGGGAGGCAGCAGUGGGGAAUAUUGGGCAAUGGGCGAAAGCCUGACCCAGCAACGCCGCGUGAAGGAUGAAGGUCUUCGGAUUGUAAACUUUGAUCGUCGGGGACGAGAACGGACGGUACCCGAGGUGAAGCCACGUCUAACUACGUGCCAGCAGACGCGGUAAUACGUAGGUGGCAAGCGUUGUCCGGAUUUACUGGGUGUAAAGGGCGUGUAGGCGGAUUUGAAAGUCAGGCGUGAAAUGCCGCAGCUUAACUGCGGAGCUGCGCUUGAAACUUCAAACCUUGAGUGCUGGAGAGGGAAGCGGAAUUCCUAGUGUAGCGGUGAAAUGCGUAGAUAUUAGGAGGAACACCAGUGGCGAAGGCGGCUUUCUGGACAGUAACUGACGCUGAGGCGCGAAAGUGUGGGGAGCAAACAGGAUUAGAUACCCUGGUA